AUGAGUGGUUUUUAUAAACACCGUGGAUCUAACCCUGCUAAUCUACGUCCUCUAACUCCAGCUGUUUCUGUAGUUUCUGAUUCCUCCACCUCACUCAGCAUGGCCCUAUUAAAUACCCGCUCUGUUAACAAUAACUCCUUCCUGCUCAGUGAUCUAAUUCUCUCUAAAAACCUGGAUUUUCUGUUUCUGACUGAAGUUUGGCAGCAAACAUCUGAUUAUUCUGGUCUGAUUGAACUCUGCCCGAGUGGUUAUUCUUUUCUUAGCCAGCCCCGGGGUUCUGGUCGUGGUGGAGGCCUAGCUGUUGUUUUCAGAGACCAUCUUCCAUGUAGCUCUACAACCUCUGGUCACUUUGCUUCCUUUGAACUGCAGCUGAUUAAAGUCGGGCGUAAGGACCCGUUCUACUGUGCUGUGGUCUAUCGUCCACCUGGUCCAAACAAUUCUUUCCUUCAGGAGUUUAGUGACUUUCUAUCCUCCACUGUGAAGCUGUCCAGACUGGUGAUUGUUGGUGACUUUAACAUCCACGUUGAUGAUCCCUCGGAUCAAUUUGCCAUGAAUUUCUCCAGCCUCAUGGACUCCUUCAGCUUUACCCAGCAUGUUUCUGGCCCCACAUACACCAGGGGGCACACUCUAGACCUUGUUUUUACCCUGAGUCUAAAGGCUGACAGUGUUUGUCCUGAGGACGUUUAUAUUUCAGAUCACCAUUGCAUUUUCUUUAACUUGUCAGUUUCUGCGUCCCCUCCUCCUGCUUACCGUAUGGUUAGUUCUCGUUUUCUUAAUGAGAGCACAGCUAGCAAUUUUUCUGCUGCUUUUGAUCCAUCCUGUUCUUCUGAUAACGACCCAGACUCCUUAACUUCUCAGUUUACCGAGCACUACCUCUCUAUCCUGGACAACAUCUGUCCUGCCAGAACCAGAUCAGUUCCUGCAGUGAACCCUACUCCCUGGUUAAACAACCACAUUCGCAGCCUAAAGCGCCAGUGCAGAAAAAUUGAGCGCUUGUGGAAGAAAACCCAUUUCCACGUUCAUCUAAAUCAGUGGUCAGCAAAUGGUGGCCCGCGAGCCCUCUCUUUGUGGCCCCCAAACCCUGCGCGCAUGUUCUAA
rnacentral:lncRNA from 1 species